ACCUGAGGAAUAAGAGGUUGCUAACUCUGUGCCAGCAGCAGCGGUAAUACAGAGACCUCAAACGUUAUCCGGAUUCAUUGGGCGUAAAGAGUUCGUAGGUGGUUUGGUAAGUCAUUGGUUAAAUCCUGGGGCUUAACUUCAGGACUGCUGAUGAUACUAUCAAGCUAGAGGCCGGGAAAGGCAAGCGGAACUGCCGGUGUAGUCGUAAUAAGCGCUGAUAUCGGCAGGAACACCAAAGGCGAAGGCAGCUUGCUAGAACGUGCCUGACACUCAAGAACGAAAGCGUGGGGAGCGAAGCGGAUUAGAUACCCGCGUAGUCCACGCCCUAAACGAUGUGCACUAGGUAUUGGGAGUAUCGACCCUCUCAGUGCCGUUCAAAAAAGCUAACGCGUUAAGUGCACCGCCUGGGGAGUACGGCCGCAAGGCUAAAACUCAAAGGAAUAGACGGGGACCCGCACAAGCGGAGGAUCAUGCGGUUUAAUUCGACAGUACGCGGCGAACCUUACCUAGGCUUGACAUAUAGCUGCAUAUCUUUGGAAACAGAGAUAGCCUUCGAGGGUGCUAUACAGGUGCUGCANNNNNNNNNNNNNNNNNNNNNNNNNNNNNNNNNNNNNUGCUGCAUGGUUGCCGUCAGCUCGUGCCGUGAGGUGUACCCUUAAGUGGGGUAACGAGCGCAACCCUCGCUUUGAGUUAAAUGUACUCAAGGGACUGCCCGCGCAAGCGGGAGGAAGGCGGGGACGACGUCAAAUCAGCAUGGUUCUUACGCCUAGGGCGACACGCAUGAUACAAUGGCCGGUACAGAGGGUUUGCCAACCCGCGAGGUGGAGCUAAUCCCAGAAAACCGGUCUCAGUUCAGAUUGCAGGCUGCAACUCGCCUGCAUGAAGUUGGAUUCGCUAGUAAACGCGCAUCAGCCACGGCGCGUUGAAUACGUUCUCGGGUCUUGUACUCACCGCCCGUCACGUCAUGGAAGCCGGUAACACUUGAAGCCCCCGCUUUGCGGGGUCUAUGGUGAGAUCGGUGACUGGGACGAAGUCGUAACAAGGCAUCCGUAGCGGAAGCUGUGGAUGGAUCACCUCCUUU
rnacentral:ncRNA from 1 species